UCCGUUAUGGUGUAGUGGCUACCAUUAUCGCUUCUCAUUAUCGACGGUGAAUCGUGAGAUCGCGAUAGCCCAGGGUUCGAUUCCCUGCCACGGAA